rnacentral:lncRNA from 1 species
UCUAACCUCUCCAAAGUAUCCAAUUACACGAACAGAGUGUAUCUGGAGACCCUGGGUUAUAAACUUUUACGAGUAUAUGUUCAAUGCAUAUUGAUUUCCUGUGUAAAAUUCAUUAUCAUUAUUAUUAUCAGUAUCAUUAUUUUGAUUAUGAAAGUAGACCGUCUUUGAUACGAAAUUUCGGUAAAAAAAAGAGAAGAAAAAAGAUAUGAUUUUUAUUAUCCAAACUGAAAUACUUUUAUCAGUUUAUGCGCAUUUUCAAGACAUUGUGAGAACAAGUAAUUAUUCUAUAUUAUAUAAAUAAUAAUUCUACACCAAAUAGUUGUUUAAUUUAGAACAUGCAUUUCAUUCUCUUAUCAGUCCGACCAGAAUCCAACGUCGUAUAGACAUCUAACGUCGACUAGACGUCAGCAAAUAUGACGUUGAACAGACGUUGUAGUUAGGUCGCCGACGUCGCGACCAAAAUCCAACGUUGUUUCGACGUUGUUUCGACGUACAGGUGUUUGCUGAGAUCGAUCUUCACAAGUGUCACAUUUGUCUUUCAUAGGUUGUUGAGCGUCAGUGCUGAUUUUAACUUUGUGGGAGGCUGCGUUUUUCGGGUGUGGUUGGACCAUUGUGCACUUUUUUCUAAUGCUUAAGAGCAAACAUUGCAUUUCUACCUAUCCUGAUCAGAGUCACCAGCUGUAUGUUGCAGAUAUUAGUUGAACAAUAAUCAAAAUUCAGAUAUCCUGUAUCGAUAUUUGCUAACAUUUGAUUAUAUUGGCCGCAUCAAUUUGAAUAUCAUAUAGUUUUGCCGAUUCAUUGAUAUUUUUUGUCUCCAAAAAAUAUUUCUUAUAAAGCUGACAGAAUCUUUGAUAAAACUGUUCUACAAAAAAAAAAUGGAAAUGAGAUAAUAGCAUUACUGUUUUGUCUGGCCACACGGAAUAAAUAUGUUACACUGGU